rnacentral:rRNA from 1 species
GACAGAGGGUGCGAACGUUGUUCGGAAUUACUGGGCGUAAAGCGCGUGUAGGCGGUCCAGCAAGUCGGGUGUGAAACCCCUAGGCUCAACCUGGGAAGUGCAUUCGAUACUGUUGGACUGGAGUCCCGGAGAGGAUGGUGGAACUCUCGGUGUAGAGGUGAAAUUCGUAGAUAUCGGGAAGAACAUCGGUGGCGAAGGCGGCCAUCUGGACGGUGACUGACGCUGAGACGCGAAAGCGUGGGGAG